CUACGGGCUGCAGCAGUGAGGAAUAUUGCACAAUGGGGGGAACCAUGAUGCAGCAACGCCGCGUGGAGGAUGACGCAUUUCGGUGUGUAAACUCCUUUUAUAUGUCAAGAAAAUGACGGUAGCAUAUGAAUAAGCACCGGCUAACUCCGUGCCAGCAGCCGUGGUAAUACGGAGGGUGCAAGCGUUACUCGGAAUCACUGGGCGUAAAGGACGCGUAGGCGGGUUGGAAAGUCAGGUGUGAAAUCCUACAGCUUAACUGUAGAACUGCACUUGAAACUUCUAAUCUAGAGUAUGGGAGGGGGAGAUGGAAUUAGUGGUGUAGGGGUAAAAUCCGUAGAUAUCACUAGGAAUACCUAAAGCGAAGGCGAUCUCCUGGAACAUUACUGACGCUAAGGCGUGAAAGCGUGGGGAGCAAACAGGAUUAGAUACCCCUGUAGUC
rnacentral:rRNA from 1 species